GUCACAUGUCUGUGGAACUUGUUCAGUUUUUCUCAGUUGUGGAAUCUUGUUAUGUUCAUACAAAUAUUUACACAUGCUAAGUUUGCUGAAAAUAAACGCAGUUGACAGUGAGGACACAUCUUAUUUUUGCUGAGUUUAUAUAAAUAAAUAUGUACACACACUUCUAAAACCAACGGUGCACCCCUCCAGCGUAACGGAUUGAAUACAGCCCUUACCGGCCUUUACACUAAAGGUGGCACUCUCCUAGCCACGCUAACCUUGCCCUCAUGUGGAUUCUAGCAAGCAGCUAGGCAGUGCUACAUAUCAACAGCCAUUGUCAGCCAAUCCAGUAAGGAUUGGAAGCUAUGGUGAGCUUCGAUUGGUCACUCACGUUGCGUUAUCGCGGAGGAUUUGAAUAAAAUUCAGUUUUCCCCAACUUUAGUUCUGCCCUGUUCAGCUCCCUCGCCCAUGCUCACAUCGCUCAAUGGUCCCCCGCCCACUCUGUUUCUCUUGCUUUCCUUCCAUUGAAAGUGAAUGGCUUCGAUGUUGCACCGCGCAAUUCCGCUUCCUGGCGUAAACUCACCGUUAGUGUCACCACUUAUUUAUCAUUCAUGGCUAAUCCCUUUAAAUCUCCGGAAAUGCUUUCCUUGCUGGUCCAGUUUAAACACCAAGAUACGUCCUCAUCUCUCAGUGGAGCAGCCAAUGAGGAUCUUAAUAGAUACUAAAUACUCCCAGAAUUAAAGCUGAGGUUGUCUUUUUUUCUCUCUGCAUUUAUCACUUUCAUUAUGUUAAACCUUCUCAAGGUCAAAAGAAGUCAUACUUUAUUUACAAGUUUAGUUAGGUUAAUUAUUAUGAACUAUUUCAUCAUUCAGGUUCCUGCCUUGGAUGACUGCUCCCAGUACCAAGAGUAGAUCAUUGCCAAUUAUGGGCAGCUAUUGUGUGCAGGGCAUUUCAGACGCCCAGAAAGAAAAUCUGCAUGUUUUUUUCUUUGCUAGUUUGAUCAGUUACCCGAUUGGCCGUUCAGUAUUUAUUGAUUUAGAUACUCUAACCAGACUAAAACUAAUGUAUAUUGCCACAUUGUAGUAGCAGGGUUUGAGCACUGGUAGGCAGCAUUGAUGCAGUUUCCAUAGCUGUGGUGAGGUCAGAUGGCGUGCAGUACUGCUUUGCAUUCUCAUUAGCUCUAAGAACAUUUAGACAAGACAUUUUCUUGCAUGUGCUAAUCACCACGUCAUGGCUGAAUAACAGCCAUUAUCAAUGCUUGGUGGAUUGUCAGGGAAGGCUCUCUGUAAAUGUAGCAAUUUGAGGGUCUGUGUGGAACUGUUCUACAAUCCACCCAACCUAAUCUCAGAGGUCUAUCAGUCAGAAUAAGGUAUGCACUGGACCAUGAUAAGGUACAGUCUGCACUGGACUUCAUAGUGAACACAGAUGUGCGUCACUCAUCAAUCAGAUCUCAGAACAAUUUCUGUAAUGCCAACAUCGUCAGGUAGAGAAGUAUGCAAAGCCUAGACCAGAAGUUAUUUUCAUUUCCCUGUGCCAGUGGCUUCACCCAGUGGGGAAGAGGGAGGGUGGAGCGGUACGUGCCUACAGCCAUGGUGGUCGAUUGGUGGUGCAGUCCUCUAUCAGGACACGAUGCCGCUCUCUGAAUGUCCUGUGUUUACAGUGGAGCCGCCGCUCUGAGCACCACCCUGGAACAGCCGCCCGCCAGCCCACCCUCCUCACCCCUAAUCACUCAGACUACCCCCUACUCGCCUGCUUCCUGCCCUUUAGGAGACAACGCUGCACUCCAACUUUCCCAUUGAAUUUGAUAUUGAUUCUGUAGGGCUAACCAUUUGGUCUGAAUGAUGAACAUGUCAUAUGGCCUUUCCCACACAGAUGCUGGUGUUGCUGGACUCCUUAAUGGAAAAGAGAGACCACGAAGAUGACCUUACAUACCAGUAAGGAGGAAGGAUCUUGGUUUGUGUGUAGUAGCCAGGGUGUUUUCCUUUGAUAGAAAUGUUCCUACUAAAAGAACAAAUGCACUUUAAUUACCAUCCUGUCGUGCCAGUGGACAGGUGUGGUGACGAGGGUGCAUACAGUAGUCGUGGGCGUCACUCUCCUCCCUGCCUGGCGCUCCCCAUGCCGGGCCCAGGGCCUUUUGAAAUUCCACUACAACCCAAUGAGUGGCCCACCCAUCUGGGUGGUUCUAUUCACCCAGGGGAGUAUGGGCAAGGGGUGGGUUUGGGGAGUACUCUUUCCAAAUGGCCUGGAAUGAGAUCUCUAUCUUAAUUGAUAUCUAGCCAUGUAAUCUAACAUAGCAUUCAGAACCCAAGCCUGAUCUCUCCUUUUGUCCCUCUAUGGAAAGUGUAGUUACUGGGCUGUAGUUUUUCACCCCCUCUGUCUCUAUUAUUUUAGCUCUCAUUUUCUACCCCUAUGAUCCUCUCCCUUUCCAGAUUCUUUAGGCUGGGCCUAAAGAAUCUGGUUUGCUAAGUUUGCUGAAAAUAAACGCAGUUGACAGUGAGGACACAUCUUAUUUUUGCUGAGUUUAUAUAAAUAAAUAUGUACACACACUUCUAAAACCAAAGGUGCACCCCUCCAGCGUAACGGAUUGAAUACAGCCCUUACCGGCCUUUACACUAUAAAGGUGGCACUCUCCUAGCCACGCUAACCUUGCCCUCAUGUGGAUGCUAGCAAGCAAAGCAAGCAAGAUGCUAGCAAGCAAAGCUCUCAUUUUCUACCCCUAUGAUCCUCUCCCUUUCCAGAUUCUUUAGGCUGGGCCAGAUGUAGACGAGGGGCAUGCCUUUGCCGUGCUGGUACCGCAGGGGACUGUCUGUGAUGUCUCCAUCGGUGGUGUCUGGCUCCACCGUGGGCAGCAGAUGACUUUGAGCUGUAGGACCAGUGGCUGGAGGAUCUGCAAGCAAGUGAUGGCAGAUGGAAGGACCAUCAAAGCGAGGGAUUGAAAAGGCAUUGCUGAGGAUCAGAGGAUCAAAGCCCUGAUCUAUUGACCAAUCCUUUCUAACGCGAUGUCCAGCACAAAUCUAUUAUUGAGAUGAGUAGCUCAGCCAAUAAAAGUAAGAUCACUAUUAACAAUUCGUCCUGUUCAUAGCAGUGACAAUGUUGACAUUAUUUGUUAUAAACAGAUUGUUUAUGGAAGUGCCAUCAGGACUAUGUGUGACCUUUGGAUUUGCUGCCAGGUUUAUACUACACUUGUGGGAAAUAAAGUACUGUUUUGACCCUGAA